rnacentral:rRNA from 1 species
AGCAGCAGCCGCGGUAAUACGUAGGGUGCGAGCGUUAAUCGGAAUUACUGGGCGUAAAGCGUGCGCAGGCGGUUGUGUAAGACAGGUGUGAAAUCCCCGGGCUUAACCUGGGAACUGCGCUUGUGACUGCACAGCUAGAGUAUGGCAGAGGGGGGUGGAAUUCCACGUGUAGCAGUGAAAUGCGUAGAGAUGUGGAGGAACACCGAUGGCGAAGGCAGCCCCCUGGGCCAAUACUGACGCUCAUGCACGAAAGCGUGGGGAGCAAACAGGAUUAGAUACCCCCGUAGUCCCUGUCUCUUAUAC